AACACGGAAACACAUCAACUGUUGUCGGGUGCUAGUGCCGGUGUAUACUGUUUAGCUCCACAUCGGAUUUGCUUGGUACAUCUGCUGGCUGGGAACGAGCAGCGAUCGCAGAACUGGACAAAAGAUAGGAGAGGCCGUAAGCGGAAUCGGAACAAAUGUUAGCAGCUCCGAUGAGAUUCCAACAAUUUUGGAAAAUAUCUCUGCCAAGGAGAUUAAGAGCUAUCCGGAUGUGGGGCGCAAGUUGUUUCCGUAAUACCAAGGUUCUGAGCGUCGAAACCAAGCGCCGCGAUUAUCGGCACAGGUGGAAGAGCUAGUGGUUGCCCGGGUCUUUUACCAUGCAGAAUUGAUCCGGAACAAUUUUUUCAAAUUAUUUUUUUUCCGAUUCGGCACCGUUGGAGAUCAGAACGUCAGGAUUCCCAAGCACUCCUCUGCAGACAACGCAAUGUCCUUAAAAAAUGUGAAACGGAAUGUAAACAGAACAGUUCCGGUUUUUAUA